rnacentral:tRNA from 1 species
UCUUAGUUGGUAGAGUACAAAGCUCUUAACCUUGUGGGCGUGGGUUCGAGCCCCAU